AGGCCUAACACAUGCAAGUCGAGCGCACCUUCGGGUGAGCGGCGGACGGGUGAGUAACGCGUGGGAAUAUGCCCUUCACUACGGAAUAGCCUCGGGAAACUGAGAGUAAUACCGUAUACGCCCUUCGGGGGAAAGAUUUAUCGGUGAAGGAUUAGCCCGCGUUAGAUUAGGUAGUUGGUGGGGUAAUGGCCUACCAAGCCUACGAUCUAUAGCUGGUUUGAGAGGAUGAUCAGCCACACUGGGACUGAGACACGGCCCAGACUCCUACGGGAGGCAGCAGUGGGGAAUCUUAGACAAUGGGGGAAACCCUGAUCUAGCCAUGCCGCGUGAGUGACGAAGGCCCUAGGGUCGUAAAGCUCUUUCAACUGUGAAGAUAAUGACGGUAGCAGUAGAAGAAACCCCGGCUAACUCCGUGCCAGCAGCCGCGGUAAUACGGAGGGGGUUAGCGUUGUUCGGAAUUACUGGGCGUAAAGCGCGCGUAGGCGGACUAUUAAGUCAGGGGUGAAAUCCCGGGGCUCAACCCCGGAACUGCCUUUGAUACUGGUAGUCUUGAGUUCGAGAGAGGUGAGUGGAAUUCCGAGUGUAGAGGUGAAAUUCGUAGAUAUUCGGAGGAACACCAGUGGCGAAGGCGGCUCACUGGCUCGAUACUG
rnacentral:rRNA from 1 species